rnacentral:rRNA from 1 species
GAUGAACGCUAGCUACAGGCUUAACACAUGCAAGUCGAGGGGUAGCAGGGAUUAGCAAUAAUCCGCUGACGACCGGCGCACGGGUGAGUAACACGUAUCCAAUCUGCCUAUUACUCGGGGAUAGCCUUUUGAAAGAAAGAUUAAUACCCGAUGGUAUAAUAAAACUGCAUGGUUUUAUUAUUAAAGAAUUUCGGUAAUAGAUGAGGAUGCGUUCCAUUAGAUUGUUGGUGAGGUAACGGCUCACCAAGUCUUCGAUGGAUAGGGGUUCUGAGAGGAAGGUCCCCCACACUGGUACUGAGACACGGCCCAGACUCCUACGGGAGGCAGCAGUGGGGAAUAUUGGGCAAUGGGCGAAAGCCUGACCCAGCGACGCCGCGUGGAGGAAGAAGGUUUUCGGAUUGUAAACUCCUGUCUUCGGGGAAGAUAAUGACGGUACCCGAGGAGGAAGCCACGGCUAACUACGUGCCAGCAGCCGCAGUAAUAC